rnacentral:rRNA from 1 species
GUGGGGAAUAUUGGACAAUGGGGGGAACCCUGAUCCAGCCAUGCCGCGUGUGUGAAGAAGGCCUUUUGGUUGUAAAGCACUUUUAGCGUGGAGGAGGCUACCGAGAUUAAUACUCUUGGAUAGUGGACGUUACUCGCAGAAUAAGCACCGGCUAACUCUGUGCCAGCAGCCGCGGUAAUACAGAGGGUGCAAGCGUUAAUCGGAUUUACUGGGCGUAAAGCGCGCGUAAGUGGCCAAUUAAGUCAAAUGUGAAAUCCCCGAGCUUAACUUGGGAAUUGCAUUCGAUACUGGUUGGCUAGAGUAUGGGAGAGGAUGGUAGAAGUCCAGGGGUAGCGGUGAAAUGCGUAGAGAUCUGGAGGAAUACCGAUGGCGAAGGCAGCCAUCUGGCCUAAUACUGACACUGAGGUGCGAAAGCAUGGGGAGCAAACAGGAUUAGAUACCCUUGUAGUCC